UACAGUAUAGUGUAACACGCACAUAGAUCUUUGAACUCUACAGAAGGCCCCCCUUACUGUAA
rnacentral:tRNA from 1 species